rnacentral:rRNA from 1 species
GAUUAACGCUGGCGGCGUGCUUAACACAUGCAAGUCGAACGGGGUGAUGUUUACGGAUAUCACCUAGUGGCGGACGGGUGAGUAACGCGUGGGUAACCUGCCUUGUACAGGGGGACAACAGCUGGAAACGGCUGCUAAUACCGCAUAAGCGCACGAGACCGCAUGGUCAGGUGUGAAAAGAGGAAUCGGUACAGGAUGGACCCGCGUCUGAUUAGCUAGUUGGAGGGUAACGGCCCACCAAGGCGACGAUCAGUAGCCGAUCUGAGAGGAUGCGCGGCCACAUUGGGGACUGAGACACGGGCCCAAACUCCUACGGGAGGCAGCAGUGGGGAAUAUUGCACAAUGGGGGAAACCCUGAUGCAGCGACGCCGCGUGAGUGAAGAAGUAUUUCGGGUAUGUAAAGCUCUAUCAGCA